GAUUUUGUCAGCCCUGACUUUCCAGGACUCGUGAUAGAACAUAAUUGCCAGUGGGGAACUUGAGGCUCAUUCUUCAUAGAGAACCAGCAGGUGAAAGAAGAGCAGUAACUUACGUAACUCCUUCUGCAGAAAAUUCUUUUAAGUGCCUGGUCCAAAAUUCAGAGGUGGUAGUCAAUGCAUGCUUAGGGAACCAAUUCAGUCAAAGUUUGCUACGUAACACUGGGAACAAAUAGUAUUGCAAACUGUGUAAAGGGACGCAGAACAUUGUACAAUAUGCACCAGAAGUUUUUGUUGUAUUUUUUAAUGUUGCUCCAACUGUAAUAUCACUGCUUAGACUAAGACAGUGAAAUUAAUUGAUUUACUUUCAGGAGCAUAGUUGCAAAGUUGUUUGUAAAACUAUACGAGCAUAUGGACUAGCUAAUCCCUCCAUGCCUAAAUUUAAUUCUAGUCAAUAAUAAUAACAAUAGCUAUGUCAUUGAAUCCUCACAACAAUCUUAUGAGACUGGUCCCUGAGUGCUCCAAGGACCCAUGCAUCUAGUCACAAAGGUUGCUGGGAGUAUCCUCCAUCUUGGCCUUAAAGGGCUCCCUUUCAGCUUCCUGGAUUAAUAUCUGUCUCUCUGGGAACUGAUUUCCCAUAUUCCCAAAGCCAUAGCCAGCUCCCAGCUUCAUCAUUCAGGAAAAAGAGCAAGCGUCUCCCCUCCAUCCUCCCCAUCUCCCACAGUACAUUAAGUACAAGCCCCAGGAGAAGAAUCAAGAGCAAUGAAUCUUCAUCAAA